GGCGCACGGGUGCGUAACGCGUAUGCAAUCUACCUUGUACAGGGGAAUAGCCCAGAGAAAUUUGGAUUAAUGCCCCAUAGUAUAUAACCUUCGCAUGUUGGUUAUAUUAAAGUUCCAACGGUACAAGAUGAGCAUGCGUCCCAUUAGUUAGUUGGUAAGGUAACGGCUUACCAAGACGAUGAUGGGUAGGGGUCCUGAGAGGGAGAUCCCCCACACUGGUACUGAGACACGGACCAGACUCCUACGGGAGGCAGCAGUGAGGAAUAUUGGUCAAUGGUCGCAAGACUGAACCAGCCAUGCCGCGUGCAGGAAGACGGUCCUAUGGAUUGUAAACUGCUUUUAUACAGGAAGAAACCCUCCCACGUGUGGGAGCUUGACGGUACUGUAGGAAUAAGGAUCGGCUAACUCCGUGCCAGCAGCCGCGGUAAUACGGAGGAUCCAAGCGUUAUCCGGAAUCAUUGGGUUUAAAGGGUCCGUAGGCGGCCUUAUAAGUCAGUGGUGAAAGCCCAUCGCUCAACGAUGGAACUGCCAUUGAUACUGUAAGGCUUGAAUUUUUGUGAAGUAACUAGAAUAUGUAGUGUAGCGGUGAAAUGCUUAGAUAUUACAUGGAAUACCAAUUGCGAAGGCAGGUUACUAACAAACGAUUGACGCUGAUGGACGAAAGCGUGGGGGAGCGAACAGGAUUAGAUACCCUG
rnacentral:rRNA from 1 species